CGGCUAAUAAGUGACGGUACCUUACCAGAAAGGGACGGCUAACUACGUGCCAGCAGCCGCGGUAAUACGUAGGUCCCGAGCGUUAUCCGGAAUUAUUGGGCGUAAAGGGCACGUAGGCGGACAAAUAAGUUUGAUGUCAAAUAUGAUGGCUCAACCAUCAAGAGGCGUUGAAAACUGUUUAUCUAGAAUCUCGGAGAGGUAAGUGGAAUUCCAUGUGUAGCGGUGGAAUGCGUAGAUAUAUGGAGGAACACCAAUGGCGAAGGCAGCUUACUGGACGAAGAUUGACGCUGAGGUGCGAAAGCGUGGGUAGCAAACAGGAUUAGAUACCCUGGUAG
rnacentral:rRNA from 1 species